AAGAGUUAGGGUCUCUCAGGCCCGACCUCCCAACCCUUUGUUUACUUGAACCAUUGUUGCUUCGGUGGGUCCGUCUCACGACCGCCGGGGGGGAGCGCCGCGAGGCAACCCUCCCCUGGCCCGCACCCGCCGAUAGCCCAACUCUUAAACCCUUUAUGAAUCGUGUCUUCUGUCUGAAUCAUGAUAUAAAAAUCAAAACA
rnacentral:misc_RNA from 1 species